rnacentral:rRNA from 1 species
GUCCACGCCGUAAACGAUGGAUACUAGCUGUUGGGCGCAAGUUCAGUGGCUAAGCGAAAGUGAUAAGUAUCCCACCUGGGGAGUACGUUCGCAAGAAUGAAACUCAAAGGAAUUGACGGGGCCCGCACAAGCGGUGGAGCAUGUGGUUUAAUUCGAUGAUACGCGAGGAACCUUACCAAGGCUUAAAUGUAGUUUGACUGGUUUGGAAACAGAUCUUUCGCAAGACAAAUUACAAGGUGCUGCAUGGUUGUCGU